GUCCGUAGAUUUUUAAAUCACGUGACCACACUAGGUUAAAAUGGCGGAGGUAAUUUGAGACGGACCUGUCAAAAUUCCGAUCAUAUUUUAGCUUAUUCUCUGCAGCAUCAUUGAAUAGGUGAAAUUUCUCCGAAAAUUUGUCAAGGUCUCUGUGAUGAUCAUUUGGACAUUUGAUUGAUAAAUACAUCCCAGAGAUGAUUUGGCUAGAAGCGAGGAGACAGUGAUCCUCAGUUGAGUGUAUUGAAACAUCACUUCUGGACAUUAUUGGAUUAUUGUGCACAUUUUGAAGUCCAUCUAUGCCAGGAAGGAUUGGUGUUCAUUCCCCCUUAUCGACUUACGAUACUAAGCCUCAUUAUGGCACAUCUUACACUGACACCUAUAGUAGGCCCCUCAGUAACUCUAGCUCUCGCUCACUCUCACAAAGCAGAGUACCUGAUAGGGGGCGUUACUCAUCAUCAUUUGAUUCUUCGUCCACCCUGACGAGGUCAAGACCUUUACCUGCUGGUCCAGGCCCUCAGGAUGAAUAUGGCAGGAAGUAUGAAUUUAGACCAAAGUCUCGCAAUAGUUCUGUGUCAAGAAUUGGCCCGCUUAAAGCAGACCAUAACUCACCGAUUAAAACUAGUUCAUAUAAUGGAACUUCAGAUUGUGCAUUGUUAAACAGGCCAAAAAGGACAAAUAGUGUACAUAAUUUAUCUGCUGAAUUCGAAAGAAAACUGAGCACUAGCAAAACUUCAUCUGUUGCUUCCAGUAGGAAAUAUAAUAGUAUAGGUGAUAUCAAAUCUAGGACUAGAAACUAUGAUAGCAAGGUUGAUGAUGUGUAUGAAAACAGCGUGCCUGAUGGAGUCACAUCUCCUAGUAGAUAUCUUAGUAGGACUAGUAGCUAUGAUUAUAAAUCAACAAGGGGCUCUGAUAGGACGUCAUCUCUCCCACCUGUCACACACACAGAGCGAGGGAGGGCUCGGGAAAGGAUCAGUGAUGAUGUCACAUCUACGACUUCAGAACGAAUAUCUCGCAGAAGCUCAAGUACAUCAGCUGCUAGUAUAAGUUCACAGGGUUACUCAUCACCGAGGCAGUCAGGAUCUACCUGGGAACAAGGUGGCAAUGCAGGAAUGCGUAAUCUAGGAAAUACAUGCUUCAUGAACUCAGUGCUGCAAUGCCUGAGCAACACAAAGCCCCUCCUAGAGUACUGCAUGCAAGAACGUCAUAUCAUGGACAUCAACAAAACUACAAGCAGCUUAAAGGGGGCUCUUAUCAAUGCGUUUGUCUCUCUGUUGAACAGUAUAUGGAAAAGUGGAGAGUCUUACGUAGUUCCUACCUCACUCAAGGCCCAAAUACAGAAGUUUGCACCACGCUUUGGAGGAUAUAAUCAACAAGAUGCCCAGGAGUUACUAAUAUAUGUGUUGGAGGGGCUACAUCAGGAUGUCAACAGGGUAACUACCAAGGUGAAGCGUGAGAUCAUUGAUGACAAGCAGCUAGAGGGACUGAACACUUAUGAGCAAUCUCGCCUUUAUUGGAGGAAUUAUACCAAAGUUGAUGACAGCUUCAUUGUAGAUACGUUUGUAGGCCAAUUGCGGAGUACUCUAAGAUGUACAGAAUGUGAACAUAAAUCUCUAACAUUUGAUCCUUUCUGGGAGCUAUCUGUGCCAUUACCAAAGAGAGGUUACUCAGAUGUCUCCUUACAGGACUGUUUCAACCUCUUCACUGUGGAGGAAAUGCUGGAGGGAGACGAAAGGCCGAAAUGUGAGAAGUGCAAAACACGUCGUAAAUGUGGCAAAAGCUUCAGCAUACAGAAGUUCCCGCAAGUGUUAGUUGUCACGUUGAAGAGAUUCUCUCAGGAGAGGUUCAUGAGGAGCAAGCUGUCCACCAAUGUCACCUUCCCUGUCAAUAACUUAGAUCUCACCGAAUAUGCUGCUGACAAAUCUGGAGGUCCCUUUAUCUACAAUCUCUAUGGUGUUAGCAAUCACUCUGGGAGCACAUACAGUGGCCACUACACAGCAUAUGCCAAACACCCCUAUAAUCAUCAAUGGCAGCUCUUCAAUGACACAAGAGUCAGCAAGGUUUCAGAGCGACAAGUUGUUUCCUCUGAGGCAUAUCUCCUGUUCUAUGAACUGACAUCCAGUGGAACACGAUCAUCACGUCUAUGAGACCAAGCCAGGAAUCAUCAUCUUGUAUCUAUAAUUACCUACUUUCAUCAAUUUACAUGUACUCAACUAGUAGUACUGUACAUUUGCCAACUUAUUGUACAUGUACUCCUCUUUUACAAUUACUCAACUUAUUGAAAAUGUAUUCAGUGUACAUGUCAUCUUACUUACAUAUACUUAAUUAUAAAAGUUUACACAAUUACAUUUACAUCUACUCGACUUCAAAAAGCUGUGAAAGGAAUUACAGUGCAGUAGCUAGAUAUGACAUAAAUGUAGAAUGUCAAGUUGUACAUAAUGUACAUCUACUAUCUUGUUGUACAUAAUGUACAUACACCAAGAGAAUUUAAAGACCCUGGCAAUGCACAAUAACUCUGUCAUUGGCCAUGUUAUUAGAAUAUACAGUAGUUAUGAUUUAAAACUAUAGCGGUGUGAAUGUACAGUAUGCAUUGCAAGACUACAAUAUUUUCUACUUUGCACAAAUGCAAAGAUUUACAUUAAAAGUCUUCAUGAAUCUGAAGUCAAAAAUAAAUUAAUCAAAAAUUAACAUUUGUGAAAUGUUUCUAUGGUUGUUAAAUUUUUAUCACAAAAUUAUUUAUUGAAUGUUAUUAAAAGUUAUAAACUUUUUCUAUCUGUUUUUUAAGAUAUAUCUAAAACAUGAGAUUCAAAUGUAUUUAUCAUUUCCGUCUUGAGGUUUUUCCUACACAGGUACAACAUAGAUUCCCUCCUUCAUCAGUCUGAUAUACUGCGCUAAAAGUUGGUCUUAUUUGAGGUUAAUGGUUAUUAUGUCACCACCACAACUGUUGACAUAUUGUUA
rnacentral:misc_RNA from 1 species